rnacentral:rRNA from 1 species
AUGUUGGCUUAGAAGCAGCCAUCAUUUAAAGAAAGCGUAACAGCUCACUGGUCUAAAUAAGGGUCUUUGCGCCGAAAAUGUAACGGGGCUCAAGCCAUACACCGAAGCUUAGGGUUCGUGAGCAAUCACGAGCGGUAGCGGAGCGUUCUGUAAGCUGAUGAAGCCAUACCCGUGAGGGGUGGUGGAGGUAUCAGAAGUGCGAAUGCUGACAUGAGUAACGUAAGGGGAGUGAGAGACUCCCCCGCCGAAAGUCCAAGGGUUCCUGCUUAAAGCUAAUCUGAGCAGGGUUAGCCGGCCCCUAAGUCGAGGCAGAAAUGCGUAGACGAUGGGAACCACGUUAAUAUUCGUGGGCCUGGAGGAAGUGACGGAUCAUUGAGGUAGUCCAAUCUUAUCGGAUUGAACGGGCUGCUGCGUGGUUCCAGGAAAUAGCUCCUCCUUAUAGACCGUACCCGAAACCGACACUGGUGGACUGGUAGAGUAUACCAAGGCGCUUGAGAGAACUAUGCUGAAGGAACUCGGCAAAUUGCACGCGUAACUUCGGAAGAAGCGUGACCCUUUUCCACGCAAGUGGAGGAGGGUGGCACAGACCAGGGGGUAGCGACUGUUUAUCAAAAACACAGGGCUCUGCGAAGUCGCAAGACGACGUAUAGGGUCUGACGCCUGC